UAUACUGGCCCAAAUUGAUGGAUAAAGAGAUGUGAUGUCAUCUUUUUUUCCCCUAACAACCACUGUUUAAUGUGCAGGUCCUUCAGUAUUUCUGUAUCCACUUAUUUCAGUAUGUUUUCCUGGCAAAAGAAACAGAAAACUAAUCUUUGGUUAACAUUUACUAUAUCGGAUGCUUGUUUUUUACGGUGUUUUUGUUUUCUUUGACCCUUCGUAAUGCAAAUAUCAGUUCAAGAUUUGUUUCCAAUGGACCACUACAUAAAUUACUUAAUAACAUAGCGAUGAGUUUUGACAGUGCUUCUGACAUUGAGCAGCGAAGUAGAUCUCAGAUAUAUCCGCUGUUUUUGUUGAACCUAAACUGCCCAAGAUCUUUAUAUGAUUUGACUUUGGAGCCUUCAAAGACCUCUGUGGAAUUUAAGAUGUACCUUUGAAUUAUGAGAUCAAGAAAAAGAGGUGCAGGGCCCAGAGUUGCAAAGCUACGCUUGAGCGUCCUUCCCCGCAGCCAAAGAAACUGAAUGGAGAGUGCACUGUCCGGAGAGACAUUCGAUCUUCGCAGAAUAUUCUGUGGGGAAGUGCUUCUGAAAAGCACGAUUCUGAGUCCAGAUUCCUCUUGUCAGAAAGUUCACACUGGUCAAUUGAUAUGGAUCUCUUGCUCAUUGCACAGUUGGUGUAAACUGGAAAUCCAAAAGCUCUGUGCAACCCCUUCCAUCCAAUGCCAGAUACUAGAGCUGUAAGGAGACUGCAACAUUAUGCAAAAGCUAUCUACUCAGAGCUUCCGCAGCAGUCGUCCAUCAGUGUGAUCAAUCUUCCACCCAAAGUUUUGGUGACGGUGUAUUCUCUGAUGAAAGGCCAAGUGUGAAAAUGAAACUUGUUAACAUCUGGAAUAGCAAAUUACAAACUCAAAGGGGAGUGCUGGGAGUGCACAAGUACACGCGAUGGGGAGUCAAAAGAAGAGCGAUACUGGAACAGAGUAUCUUAAGAUUCAGGAUAUUAUUUUCAAUAUCACUUCUGGCGUCUUGCAUUUUGUUGGUGAUUCAUUAGUUCCUGAUACCAUUAGUAAAAACUGCCUGGAGGGUGCCAAAGCUCUCCAACAGGUUGACAAGAAGUUUAUUCCUAUUGUGUGAGCACUAUAAUUGAUUAGUGAGGAUGACCUGCUUUGAACACGUGCUUCUCCUUCUCUGUUGCUGCUAUUGUCCAGUGGGUUUGGGAUUCAUCUGAAUUCCUUUAACAAUUUGAAUGCAAGCGAUGGUUCAUUCAAGCUCUCAGAUACAUCUCAGGUCCUGAUGUUUACACAGUGAAGGUAUACAGGCCCAAAUUGAUGGAUGGGGAGUCAAGAGAAGUACACACGGUGGGAGUCAAAAGAAGUACACGCGAUGGGGAGUCAAAAGAAGGUCAUGCCUGAAAUUGGUUACCACUAACUGGGUUUGGAUCUGCAACUAUCAUUCUCAAGCUUCAAGAUCAUUUACCAGGAUUUUUGUUGCACUACUUUUGCAACAUUCAUUAAACCUCCUAACUCUAAGCAUGAAGUUGUAUGUUUUGGUUAAAGCAAGAACGUAAAUCUGAUUCACAAACAGCCAACAUCUGUCACACUUCUUGCGGGUAGCAUUCUCUACUUGUCUCUGUCAUAUUAUAGAUUCAAAAAGUUAAGUUCAUGUAAACCAUUUGCAAAUCAGUCUUAGAAGGGAAAGGUAACAACUAGUAUUCUAUUCCAAAAAACCAAACCUGCCACAACAUGUUACAGGUUUACUAAUUACAGAUAUAGGAGAGUAUCAGGAAGAUCUUCAACCCUAAAAGAAAAAAUUACAAGGUGCCUAAAGCAUUCAUUACUGAUUCUAGAUCUUCCAUAUACCCCUGUUUACACCAAAAAUGAAACAAAACUAAACAAUUCAUCUUCAUCUUCUGGAUGUUGUUACUCUUGUUCUGAAAGCAUCUGAGAUUCCUCUCUUUCCACACAGACCACUAAACAUUCAUAGCUUAUUAUCUUCAACAUUCAUAUUCCUCCCUCUGAAGGAUAUAUGCCCAUCUAAAUGUGGAAAACAAAGCAUGACUAGAACUUCUUCGCAGGCUAGUUAUUCCAUUCUGAGGUAUCAAUAACAGUUCAUAUCAGUUCUGUGUUCCAUUUUGUUAAAAACAAGAAUUAUUUUUGAGGGUUUAAGGUUUUCAAGUGUCAUUUGUGCGCAUUGUCUCUUAAGGUCCAUUUUAUGUUUUAAUUGGGUUGAUUAUAGCAAGUGAAUUAUGAUUUGUAACUUAUAACUUAUAAGGGAAGAGCUUUUUUGUUCUAAGACCUUGAAGCUUGAAUAGCUUCCAACUUAAUUUGGAAACUAUUCAUCACAUCAUUCAUGUUUUAGGAAAUACUCCACUAGCUAACAAGAUUCUCUUGCACUUGUUUCACGAGAAAAUAAUUGUUUUCUUAAUAAUACGGGUUUCAUGUAUGUUGUGCGUUAAUCCACUUGAUGUGGUUCUGUUAGAAUUUCUUCAACAGGUCAGUCCAUCGACACUAACUAGCUCUCUCAUAUUUUACUCCUUUAUUUAACUCUAAUUUUUGUCAUGGAAUCUUGCUUAUGUUCUUGCUUACAUGCCGUGUCAUGUUCUCUGAAUAAUGUAUUUGCAACCCUCAACUUAUUGGUACAGAUGGAUCUUCAAUACUACCCCCAUCAGUGAAUUCUGAGCUACCUUGAUGCCCCCCACAUAAGAAAAAGAGAAAGAACAGGGAAUUUGAAUCAAAAGCGAUUUAAGACACUUUUCUUUACUCCUGAUGUCUUUGUUUUCAUUUGUGUUUGAACUAUAACUUCAAUGUGGAUAGAGUUGCCUUCAGAAUGUUGUCUCAUUAUUGAAGAGUUGAAGCAGACUUCAUUGUGUUUCAAGUGAGGAAAUAUUUGUGUUGGAACUGCAUUUGAUGAUUGCUAAGUUAGGUUCGUGCAGUAGUUCCUCCGAGGCAUGGCAUGUAUUACAUCGGUAUGAAAUCAACCUAGAACGUGCAGCGAAGCAACUAAGAUCAGCCGUGUUCUAGUGUCUAAAAGCUCUUGUGAGUAAACCUAAUUUGGUUCUUCUUGCUACCUACUAAUUUUUUUCUGAAGAUAUCCCGUCAAGCGAUCAUCACAUUGAAGGAUAAUUUGGAUAUGGAGCUCAGUACAUCUAUAUAGAUUCAACAAAUAAAUGUUUGUACUAAAUGUAACAUUAGCUUUUAGUGGCAGCAGCACUCUUCUUUGAACACACACGCACACAUAGAUACACGCACAUGAAAAAUAGGAAAAGGGAAUGGAUUGUUUCCAUGUAUAGUCAGAGUAGCUCACUUUUUAUAAAGUGUAAAGAAAUACUACGAUAACGGAUUAGGUAGUUUGAUUGUAACAUUAUUCAUUUGUUGAGAUGGUUAAAUUUGUA